rnacentral:rRNA from 1 species
GCCUGCGACGAAAUCAUCUGGAACCCGCUCGAUCUCAUCUGAUCUCGGAUGCCAAGCAGGGUUGAGCCUAGAUACUGCUAGGAUGGGUUGACUACCUUGCUCAGACAGGAUAAGGUUCUUGUAGUCC